rnacentral:rRNA from 1 species
GAUGAACGCUAGCGGCAGGCUUAACACAUGCAAGUCGAGGGGUAGAGGAAGCUUGCUUCCUUGAGACCGGCGCACGGGUGCGUAACGCGUAUACAAUCUACCUUUUACAGAGGGAUAGCCCCAGAGAAAUUUGGAUUAAUACCUCAUAGUAUUUUCGGAUCGCAUGAUUUGAUUAUUAAAGUUCCAACGGUAAAGAUGAGUAUGCGUCCCAUUAGCUAGAUGGUAAGGUAACGGCUUACCAUGGCGAUGAUGGGUAGGGGUCCUGAGAGGGAGAUCCCCCACACUGGUACUGAGACACGGACCAGACUUCUACGGGAGGCAACAGUGAGGAAUAUUGGACAAUGGGCGCAAGCCUGAUCCAGCCAUGCCCGCGUGCAGGAAGACGGUCCUAUGGAUUGUAAACUGCUUUUAUACAGGAAGAAACACUCGGACGUGUCCGAACUUGACGGUACUGUAUGAAUAAGCAUCGGCUAACU